rnacentral:rRNA from 1 species
CGACAACGGAUAGCCGGCCUGAGAGGGUGACCGGAACCACACUGGGACUGAGACACGGCCCAGACUCCUACGGGAGGCAGCAGUGGGGAAUAGCACAAUGGGCGCAAGCCUGAUGCAGCGACGCCGCGUGAAAGGGAUGACGGCCUUCGGGUGGUAAACCUCUUUCAGUAGGGAAGAAGCGAGAGUGAUACCCGGUACCUGCAGAAGAAGCGCCGGCUAACUACGUGCCAGCAGCCGCGGUAAUACGUAGGGCGCAAGCGUUAUCCGGAUUUAUUGGGCGUAAAG